AGCAUCAAACCUCUUUUAAAGCUGUUGUCUCAAAAUGCAAAUCUGUUAUAAUAACUUUCCUAAACCAUUUGUUUUUCAAGCGCUGCGAGCAACAACAAAAACAAACACGAAAAGGACAAAAGAAUGGACGGGGAAAAAGACCGAAGAGGGUGCAAAAAAAUGAAGGAGUAAGACAGAGCAGAUCACCCAUGGGGGUGCUGACUCGAGGUUUGUAUGAUGGUAAGCCAGCGAAGGCCUAGAGUAUUUAAAGUAUUGGCCUAGAGAUAAGACUAACUCACCAUUUUUCCAGCAGGUGUACUGCAUGGCAAUGGGUAAAGUAUAAGAUGACUGGUGUAGUUCUUAGUCUUGGUUCAAGAUAUUCGAUCUUGAAGCAAAACUAACAGCUACCCAGUCGUCAGUAAAUGCCGAACUUUAGUAGACUCUCCAUUUGAUGUCUCUGAAGAGUGACUGGAGGGAAGUGAGGUCAGGUGCUCGCAAAGAGGUUAAGUAUAACAGGUGUAGUAUCGGUUAACAAUUUCAGGACAAACAUAUCAAUACCUUUUUCUCACAGCUUUUAACCAAAUUUCCUCAACAGCUUUUAACCAAAUUUCCUCAACAGCUAACAUGUAAAAUACCUGGGUGGUAAGACAGAAAAUUAAGUAAACCGUUUCCUGACAGCUUUUAACGGUGUUUUUACAUUGUGUUUGUUUUCAACAGAUUGUAACGUGUUCUUCCCUGUGAAUGUGGUAAUUAGUGACCUGGGGUCAGAGGUUGACCUGGGGUCAGGUGCUGCCAGCAAAGGUUAAGUAUCUGGUGAAGUAUAAGAUAGCGUUCAAAAUGGUGCCUCUCUUGAAGUCUUAGUUUGAAAUCCUCCCUUAAAUCGAUUGUGACAAUCGAAGAUGAGUUUUUCUAGUUUCAAUCGAUGAGAGCGAGUUUCAGUCUAAAAAAAUUAAGAGAGAUACAAAAAAACAUUUCUUUUCCCUCAUUAAUCUACUCAAUUGUUUUUGUUUUUCACAGUUGGGAAACCUGGUAUCGCUGAAGUGUGUAUUGUGGCAAGCGGCAGAUGGCAGCUCAGGGACACCGUAGAUGACAUUGGUUUGGUUUUGUGAAGUUGUGACUACAACCGGACCUGUUUGCAGUGGCAAUGUUGAAGGAUUCACGUGCAAGGAGUCAAUAACUAAAUUGAGCCGAUAGCCAUGGAGUAAAUCAACGCUUCUUGGACUGUGUGCCACCAGGGGCCAACUUCAUAGAGCUGCUAAGCACAAACAUUUGCUUAGCAUGCAAUUUUUGCCUUGAUAAAAACAGGAUAAA